ensembl:rRNA 5S_rRNA 5S ribosomal RNA
GUCUAUAACUAUGCUACCCUAAACAUGCCUGAUCUUGUCUGAUCUCCAAAGCUAAGUGGGGUUGGUCCUGGCUAGCUCUGUGAUGGGAG